CCUACGGGAGGCAGCAGUGGGGAAUUUUGCGCAAUGGGGGCAACCCUGACGCAGCAACGCCGCGUGAGUGAUGAAGGCCCUCGGGUCGUAAACCCCUUUUGUCGGGGAAGAUGAUGACGGUACCCGACGAAUAAGCCCCGGCUAACUACGUGCCAGCAGCCGCGGUAAUACGUAGGGGGCAAGCGUUGUUCGGAUUUACUGGGCGUAAAGAGCGCGUAGGCGGUUUGAUAAGUCAUGGGUGAAAGCCCUCAGCUCAACUGAGGUUACGCCCAUGAAACUGUCUGACUUGAGUUUAGGAGAGGAGAGCGGAAUUCCCAGUGUAGCGGUGAAAUGCGUAGAUAUUGGGAGGAACACCGGUGGCGAAGGCGGCUCUCUGGACUAAUACUGACGCUGAGGCGCGAAAGCUAGGGGAGCAAACGGGAUUAGAUCCCCCUGUAGU
rnacentral:rRNA from 1 species